rnacentral:rRNA from 1 species
AGGACGAACGCUGGCGGCGUGCUUAACACAUGCAAGUCGAGCGGAAAGGCCCUUCGGGGUACUCGAGCGGCGAACGGGUGAGUAACACGUGAGCAACCUGCCCUUGGCUCUGGGAUAGCCUCCGGAAACGGGGAUUAAUACCGGACAUUCACUUCUCCUGCAUGGGUGAUGGUGGAAAGUUUUUCGGCCAGGGAGGGGCUCGCGGCCUAUCAGCUUGUUGGCGGGUAACGGCCCACCAAGGCGACGACGGGUA